UACAGAGGUCCCAAGCGUUGUUCGGAUUCACUGGGCGUAAAGGGUGCGUAGGCGGUCGGGUAAGUCUGGCGUGAAAUCUCCAAGCCUAACUUGGAAACUGCGUUGGAUACUAUCCGGCUCGAGGAAUGAAGGGGAGACUGGAAUACUUGGUGUAGCAGUGAAAUGCGUAGAUAUAAGUGGAACACCAGUGGCGAAGGCGAGUCUCUGGACAUUUCCUGACGCUGAGGCACGAAAGCCAGGGGAGCAAACGGG
rnacentral:rRNA from 1 species